rnacentral:rRNA from 1 species
ACCCGGGUAGUCCACGCCGUAAACGAUGGACACUAGCUGUUGGGAUUAAUCUCAGCGGCUAAGCGAAAGUGAUAAGUGUCCCACCUGGGGAGUACGAUCGCAAGAUUGAAACUCAAAGGAAUUGACGGGGGCCCGCACAAGCGGUGGAGCAUGUGGUUUAAUUCGAUGAUACGCGAGGAACCUUACCAGGGCUUAAAUGCAAUAUGACAGGACUAGAGAUAGUUUUUUCUUCGGACAUAUUGCAAGGUGCUGCAUGGCCGCCGUCAG